GCCGGGAGGGCUGUGCGGGUGCGGGUGCGGGGCCGGUCCCGGUGCGCGGAUGCCCCGGGCGGGCACCGCCACCGCGGCCGCGCUUCCCCCGUGAUGGGGGGUGCCCGCCCGCCCCUCCAGAGCCGCGGGUGCCGGGACCGCCUUACCAUCUGCUGCGCCGCCCGGAAGGUGGCAUCCAGCAUCAUCAGCUUCCAGGGGUCGGCCACGGCGCCGGGCAGCGGCAGCAGAUGGAGUUUCUGUGAUUUUCAUGGUCCACUUGGGUAGACUACAGGUGUGAAGAAACAAACUAUGCCAAGAAAGCAGCACAAGGUCCUACUGCUGCGAUGUAGCUGUUGUGACAGGAUUCAUUUAUCGACUUAAUCUCCUGAAACCCAAUCCCUGUGGGUGUCACGAACUUGUUCUAAAAUGUAGAAGAAAUAUGGUUCCAGGUUUCAGGUGUGGGCAAAACUGAACACCUGGCUGAAAAGAACUUUGUAAGACUGCGGAGAAAGAAGAGAACAGGGGAAAAGCCAAUGAAGGCUGGCCUGGCUUGGAACUGCAAAGUGAUGGCCCAAAUAAGUACUUAGAUGUGGCAAUAGGACGUCAGGCUGUGUUUUGACUGUAAGUCAUUGUUGCAAUUACUCAGUCUGAAAUAAGUGUAGGACCGUGUAAUAGUUUGAGUUGUGUCAGCAUUGGAAUGAGCUCCUCGAUUUCCAGGCUGUUAUUUCGAAACCUUUUCCUCAGGAAAAUAGUUCUAAUUUACAUGUACACCAGCAGCAAAUCUUUAUUCACAUAAACAACACCUGUAAUCGUCUCCUUCUGCUUUUUCCUAUUCCAUUUUUCUUCCAAAUAAUAAAAAGUCAAUGGAGUUUUACAGCUGCUGGAUCAGCCAUGGAAAUGCCUGAACUGAUAAAACUGUGUAGUAUAAAAUAAUCAAAUAAUUAAAAAAAGAGGGUAGGAUUUAAGAACUCAAUUUGACAUACAAUCAAAAAUUCUAGAAAGAGAAAAUAUAUCUCUUGUUGUUUUUAUAUUGAGGCAGUGACAUGACUGAGCCCCUACGACAAAAUUCCCUUCUGGACCAGUAACCUUUAAUAUAAGGAACAAGUGAAAAUAA